UGCAACCUACACCACAGCUCACAGCUACACCAGAUCCCCAACCCACUGAGUGAGGCCAAGGAUUGAACCUGCAUCCCAUGGAUCCUAGUUGGAUUCAUUUCCGCUGAGCCACGAUGAGGACUCCCAACUUAAAUUGCUUUACUUAUGUAUUUAUGCUUUUAACUUUACUUUUCUGUUCGGAGGAACUCUAUCAGAUCUGCCUGGGAGAGCAAUAAAGAGACUUGGUGGCAAAACACAGCACAAAUAAUUGCUCAUCCUGUGUGAAAUGCCUUCCAUCCGCUUUGGGAAAACCUCCUUGUGGCAGGAAGAAGCCAGGUAGCAUGGAAUAAAAGGCUGGAAAAUGACUGAAAGAGAGGAGACAGAGAAACUGCAAAGGUCCUGAGACAGACUUGGAAGCCUAAGAUGAUGAUGCUUUUUCUGGGGUGAAGAAAAAAGAAGAUGCAAUAAAUAGGUGGAAAUGUGGUUUUGCGAGACGUUGGACCCUGUGAACUUUCGCUACGCCUUGCAAGGAUGGAAAAAACAUGUGCUGAGUAAUAAUGAAGCUGACUGACGGAAUGAGAAUCACAUGGUCCUGCCUAACCACAAGGGAAAUGAAGCUUUAGUGGUGUGCCCAGGAAGAAGAUGGUACAGAUUUAUGGUGAACAGCUGGUAGUCCCUGCCACACACCCAUCUAACAGGAUUAAAACUGAGGUCCAGGGAAGCUGAAGUGACUUGCCUGAUGUGAUGCAGGUAUUUGUAGCCAUUGUCCAACAGGUUGGGAUAUGAUAUGAAUCCUGGCUGGAAUCCUAGCUGGAGGCAGUGAAGAGGGCUUAGAAGGAAAAGAAGAGACAGCAGAGGGAAGGAGGGCUAACCCUGACCCUGGCAUGGAGAUGCCCCACCAAGCAGAUUCCUUGGGGCUUCUCACUAAAGCUGUGUUUAGUGCCAUUGUGCGCUUCAGCUUCCACUUUGCUUGCCUUUCUUGCUGUUUCUUGUUCUCAUUUGCAGAUGCCCUGUGGGCUGCUAGUCCUGGGUGAGGGAGAUUGAAAUCUCCACUGAGAUAAAACAAUAGCACCUCUCCAGCUGCUAUUGUUACAGGCCUCCUGGCUGCAGGCUCAAGGAGAAAACCUUGAAUCAAUUUGUCUGGUGGAGGCCAAGGGGUUGGCUGCCUGCCCUUCACAACUUGUUAAAAUGAACACUUAGACUCUGGGGGGUGGGGUGCAGCUAAAUCUGGGGGAUGAUUCUCACCCCCUGAUCCUUUCUGCUGAUUUUGUUAGGUUUGGGGAUGUCAGUAUCACAGAGCUGGAGGAGAGAGCAGAGGGCCGAGGCCAUCUCUUUUUUUCUGCACCUGAAAUGCUUAGUAACACUUCAAAUUUGUUGGAAUUUUGCCCAGAUGCCUUUUUCUCUUCUCAAAGACUCUCCCAACGUUGUUCCUUUGGGACAAGCGUCUCAAAAGUCCAUGGCCCCUCCCAUUCUGAGCGGUGGUUAAUACUCAGGUCACAUAUGCUUCAGACACGCGCUGGAAGGGGCUCCCCCUCCACUCUGGCCAGUGGCCGAUGGGACCAGCCAACAAGUUUUGUUUUGCUUGACAUGAAAGCUGGUUGAAGUUAAGCAGGAGACAUGUUUUUGUUUCUUUAAUAAAUAAAAGUAAGGACCCUGUACAUGAAUAAAAGUAAAAGUUACUCCCCUGAGGUUUUUAGGCUUCCAAAAAUAGUCCCAAACUUAGCCAAGGCUAAUGCAGCCAGAAUUUCCAUGGAAAGCUUCGCUGGUGAGGAAGAGGCAGUGCCAGUGGGUGUACAAACAGGCUGCCCUCUCCCUCCACCCCUUCCUGUCUCAGUCCCUGGGAGUUUAGAAAACAGGUUUUUGAAAUUGUGUUGUUUUUCUGGUUUGAGAUAAAGACAACAGAGGCAGCAGCAAUAUGUAUUAUUGCAGAAUCUAGUUUGGGGGCUGGGCGGGGGAUGGAUGAGGGGAGGUGGAUUUAUGAUGGGGGGUGGAAUUUGUUCCUGCAGCCAAUGGGGACGUGUUUCUUCAAAAAAAAGAAAGAUGGGGCAAGAAUAUUAUCAUAAGCAAACUGAUGUAAAAAAAAGUAUGUUUUAAAAAGUAACUUUCUCUUCCUCUGAAUAAUUGAUGAUUCCUGGCAAAGGAGAGCUGGUUAAUAACACAAAACUGUCCUCCGGUAGUUUUAGCUGUGACCCCCUCUCCCUGGGAUUUGCUCUCCUCAUCUACCUGCAGCCAGGGCCAACUUUUUCUCAUGAGCAAAAUGCUCCGAGGUAUUAGCAUUUGUCUGCUUAGCAAACUUUUCUGAAGUUCAGGGUUUUAGGGAAACUAUUAGAAAUGUGAGCAAAGCACCUCGCCGGCCAGGGUGAUGGCACCCCCUCUGCUGUUGGGCACUUCAGAAGUUUUGACUUGGGGGAACCGAUCUGGAACUUUCAGGAACACAUGUUUAAAAAUAAGUACUUUUUUUUGUUUUUUUGUUUUUUUGUUAUUGGGAGGGAGGGAGACGGUAAUGUUUUUAGCUAUUAAGCUUUCAGCUUUGCUGUGGAAAGAGUGCAUAGUGGCUUUAAAACAGAUUAAAAAAAAUCUAUUCUUCACUAAAUCUAGUUGAUUUUCAGAAAGGAUUCAAAAGGCAAAAUGAGAAAAUCCUCCAAGGGAUACCUAAGCUGAAUGAAAGAGGCCAAUGCGUUUCCCUGCCAUUUCAAGUCAGGACUCGAUUUUUCUCUGGUGCCUUAAUUUGGAUGGAUGUGUAUGGGGGUCGUGAUGGUGUGUAUAUGUGUGUGCAGAUUAUGGAGGGAUUUUAUUAUGCACAUAACCUAUCAGAAAUUUGCACCAUGUGCCUCAGUGUGGAAGACAGAAAAAGCACACUGGAAUGGACAGUGAUCAUAAGAAUUGUUUUAAUGUUUACUUUUCUGUGGGCCAAAUAAUCAUGGCAAUGAAGGACUUUUAGGAGCCAGUCUCCCUAAUAUCAUCUCUGAGUAUGAUUGGGGAGGGGUCCAGGGAGUCAGGAGCGGGGGCUAGGAUGAGAGCGUUAUCCUUUCCCACAAUAGCUCAUCGGCUAAGUUACCUCUUCAUGUAGAGAUGCUUGUUCAGAGAAACUGAAAUUGGAUCCCUAGUCUUUCUUUGGAAACUCGAUAGCCCUGCUUGGUGAGGUGAUCAAGAGUUUGAUAGCAUAAGAGACAAAAGUGUGUCAUCUAUUUCCUAUGAAUACACCGGGGGAAUGUAGAAGAGUUUAUAACUUAAAAAUAAUACGAGGCAUAUUUUCAUUCUCUAGUUUUCAAAUACAUAGUUUUACAAGGACCUCCUCAUCCCUUAAUUUAAAAAAAAUUUUUUUCUUUUGAUGGCCGCAUCUGCAGCAUGUAGAAGUUCCUCGGCCAGGGGUUGAAUUGGAGCUGCAGCUGCACUACAGCCAUGACAA